rnacentral:rRNA from 1 species
AUGUUUGUGGGAGGAAAUCUGGUUAGUUGGAGAAGCAAGAAGCAGAGUGUCGUGGCUCGCUCGACAGCAGAAACGGAAUUUAGGUCCAUGGCCUCGGGUUUGUGUGAACUAAUGUGGUUGAAAACAUUACUAACCGAGUUGCAGCUGCGGACUGAUGCAUCUAUUCAGGUUUAUUGUGAUAAUCAAGCCACAAUUAACAUAGUGAAUAACCCAGUUUAUCAUGAUAGAACUAAACAUAUUGAGAUAGAUAGGCACUUCAUCCGAGAGAAAUUAGAUGAAGGGUUAUUCCAAAUUAGUUAUGUUAAGUCUGUAGAUCAGCUUGCAGAUGUAUUAACAAAAGGAAUAGGUGUUGUAUCAUUUAUGAGGAUUUGUAACAGGAUGGGGCUUAUUGACAUCUUUGCCCCAUCUUGA